CGUAGGUGCGAGCGUUGUCCGGAAUUAUUGGGCGUAAAGAGCUUGUAGGCGGUUUGUCGCGUCUGCUGUGAAGACCGGGCUUAACUCCGGUCUGCAGUGGGUACGGCAGACUAGAGUGUGGUAGGGGAGACUGGAAUUCCUGGUGUAGCGGUGAAAUGCGCAGAUAUCAGGAGGAACACCGAUGGCGAAGGCAGGUCUCUGGGCCAUUACUGACGCUGAGAAGCGAAAAGCAUGGGGAGCGAACAGGAUU
rnacentral:rRNA from 1 species